rnacentral:rRNA from 1 species
AUUGAACGCUGGCGGCAUGCUUUACACAUGCAAGUCGAACGGCAGCGCGGGCUUCGGCCUGGCGGCGAGUGGCGGACGGGUGAGUAAUGCAUCGGAACGUGCCCAGUAGUGGGGGAUAGCCCGGCGAAAGCCGGAUUAAUACCGCAUACGACCUGAGGGUGAAAGCGGGGGGCCGAAAGGCCUCGCGCUAUUGGAGCGGCCGAUGUCGGAUUAGCUAGUUGGUGGGGUAAAGGCUUACCAAGGCGACGAUCCGUAGCUGGUCUGAGAGGACGACCAGCCACACUGGGACUGAGACACGGCCCAGACUCCUACGGGAGGCAGCAGUGGGGAAUUUUGGACAAUGGGGGCAACCCUGAUCCAGCCAUGCCGCGUGCGGGAAGAAGGCCUUCGGGUUGUAAACCGCUUUUGUUCGGGAAGAAAUCCUCUGGGCUAAUACCCCGGGGGGAUGACGGUACCGGAAGAAUAAGCACCGGCUAACUACGUG